GAGUCAUACCUGCUCGGUGAAUAUAUUUUAACAGCUGCGGUAUUUUAACUGUACUAAGGUAGCAUAAUAAUUUGCCUUAUAAUUUGAGGCUAGAAUGAAUGGUUUGACGAAGGUUAUACUGUCUCUAUUUUAUUUUUUAGAAUUUAAUUUUUAUUGUGAAAAAGCAUAAAUUUUUCAAAGGGACGAGAAGACCCUAGUGAGCUUAUAAUUAUAUUAAUAUAAUAUUAAUUUUAUUUAUAUUAUAUUAUAUAAAUUUUAAUUGGGGUGAUUAAGGAAUAUAUAUUAUGUAAUAACUUCCUUGAGAUAUUAUAUAUUUUUAUGAAAUAACCAAUAUAUAUAUUGCUUAUAAUAUAGUUACCAUAGGGAUAACAGCGUAAUUUAUUUAGAGAGUUCUUAUUGAAAAAUAAGAUUGCGACCUCGAUGUUGGAUUAAAGUUACCUUGAGGUGCAGAAGCUUUAAUAAGGUGAAUCUGUUCGAUUUUUAAAACUUUACAUGAUCUGAGU
rnacentral:rRNA from 1 species